GAUGAACGCUGGCGGCGUGCUUAACACAUGCAAGUCGAACGGAAAGGCCGAAGCUUGCUUCGGUACUCGAGUGGCGAACGGGUGAGUAACACGUGGGUGAUCUGCCCUGUACUUCGGGAUAAGCUUGGGAAACUGGGUCUAAUACCGGAUAUGACGAUCUCUUGGAUGGGGUUGAGGAAAGCUUUUGCGGUAUGGGAUGAGCUCGCGGCCUAUCAGCUUGUUGGUGGGGUAAUGGCCUACCAAGGCGUCGACGGGUAGCCGGCCUGAGAGGGUGUACGGCCACAUUGGGACUGAGAGACGGCCCAGAGUCCUACGGGAGGCAGCAGGGGGGAAUAUUGCACAAUGGGCGCAAGCCUGAGGCAGCGACGCCGCGUGGGGGAUGAAGGCCUUCGGGUUGUAAACUCCUUUCGCAAUCGACGAAGCCUUUUGGUGACGGUAGGUUGAGAAGAAGCACCGGCUAACUACGUG
rnacentral:rRNA from 1 species